AAGCACUAAGGGCUAUAGCUCAGUUGGUAGAGCAACUCGUUUACACGCGCGCCAAUGUUUUUCAAGGGAGUUCAUCAUACAAUCAGAAAAAUUGAUCUUGUUGAGAAAUCGAUGUCUUACUCCAUAACUUUGAGGGAACCAUAGCCUGACAAAGGGUUCGGUCCAAUUUGGACGCCCAUUUAGGAGGUGCCAAACAGACCCCAUCAUUGAUUUGAGAUCUUGAUAAGGUGAAUACCCAGUCUAUUCAAUGCUAGGCCAUAAUGAGUAUAAGGACCUCAAAAAAAUCUCUUUUCGUCAUAUGAACUUUAAGGUGUAUGAAGUUUCAUAUUUGAUUUUUAAGCAGAACGAUAGAGACUUCAUUUAACUUAGGUUGAUCUAGGCCAGAGACAGACCUACGUCAAGAUAAUCCCACCUUUGAAACACUUUGGUAAUGCUCCCAAAUAAUUAAUCAGAGCCCAUGGAGCCAUUUCCUUAUCUUUUUUUAUGUCAAGAAAAAAAAUGGCAGACUAACUGAUAUUUAGAUCAGUUAAUGAAGGAGCCCAAUGCAAAAAAAUGCAUGUUGGGUCUUUGAAACAGUUCAGAUCAUUUUAAUAAUAAGAAGUUUGAUUUGUUUUACCGAGAAGGUCUACGGUUCGAGUCCAUAUAGCCCUAUAAAAAUGAAAAAUGCAAAAAAAUUUUUGUAUAAUUUGCAUUUCUUCAUUAUUAUUUCUUGCUUGUAACUAAAUGAAACCCAAUUAUUCCUAUAAGUUUACUCACGGCAAUCGUUUAAGCAGAUGAAAGAAAAAACGCAUAUCAAUGGAUCCAAUAGAUAUUGAUUUUUGCAAUUACAGAUAAACAAACCAACCUUUCGUCAUUAAUCUUCGGAGGCGAAUUACAUAUUCAUAUCUACAAUACAAGAAUUAGUGAGACUCCCUUUCUUUUGAUAUCCCCAAUCUUAUUGAAUUUUUGAAGUCAACUCAUUUCACGGGCCUGGUGAAAUGCAAAACUACGACGAGGAAUUCACAUGGAUUUAGGAAAGGCCUGCUAUAUUUGUGUACAAGCUAAGGUUUUUUGAAAAAUGAAUAUCUUUGGUAUCUUUCAUUGUCAAAUAGGCUUUUCCUUCGUAUACCUUACUUACCUCGACCUAGCGAAGCACAACAAAAAAGGUAGUCUUCUUUUUCUGUAUUCAACCAAGAAAAACCCCUCCACCUGGAUUCGAAUCCUAAUAAUAUUAUUAAAUGUUAAUUCAAUAAUAAUAAAAGGAAUAUACCAACACAAGAUCUUCUAAAUCUUGAGAUGGCAAUUCCUAUACAUUCUCUUCUAUUUGAUUACGUGUUCUAUUCUAAAUCACUAAGAAAAAAAUGAAAAUAAAGACCUCCUGAUUCUAUUUAUAGAAAUAAAUAGAAAUCUUUAAAGAAUUUAUAAUUAAAGAAGAAAUCAGAUAAGUAAUUAAUUUAGAAUUCCCCAUUUUUAGAGAAAAAAACAAGAGAAACAGGAGAAUUUGUCGAAGAGUAAUAUAUAGUUAGAAGGUUCUACUAACUAAAUAAAAUGGAAAUAAGUAUAAUGGAAAUAAAAUCGAAUUCCAGUCGAUGAAUCUUGCAAUGAGAUAUGCCCUACAAUAAACGAAUAAACAAAGCAAACUAGUCGGUUCGGCCAAAAUGAAUUCUUGUUUUGACUAAAUAGUUAUGGAUGACUUGACAAUUCCAAUUCGAAUCAACCAAUUGAAUCCGGUAUAUUUUCCACGUUCAUAGGAGUGCGUUUAUGUUUCUUCUUUACGAAUAUGAUUUUUUUUGGGCAUUUCUAAUAAUAUCCAUCCUUGUUCCUAUUUUGGCAUUUUUCAUUUCCGGAGUGUUAGCCCCGAUUAGCAAAGGGCCAGAGAAACUUUCUACUUAUGAGUCAGGUAUAGAACCAAUGGGCGAUGCUUGGUUACAAUUUCGAAUCCGUUAUUAUAUGUUUGCUCUAGUUUUUGUUGUUUUUGAUGUUGAAACGGUUUUUCUUUAUCCAUGGGCAAUGAGUUUCGACGUAUUGGGUGUAUCUGUAUUUAUAGAAGCUUUCAUUUUCGUGUGUAUCUUAAUUAUUGGUUUAGUUUAUGCAUGGCGAAAGGGGGCAUUGGAAUGGUCUUAGCUCCUGCAUAUUCAGACAAUAAAAAGAAAAACGGAAAAAAUAAGAUUGAGACAGUUAUGAAUUCCAUUCAGUUUCUUUUACCUUAUCGAACAGCCCCAAAUUCAGUUAUUUCAACUACAUUAAAUGAUCUUUCAAAUUGGUCAAGACUCUCUAGUUUAUGGCCGCUUCUCUAUGGUACCAGUUGUUGCUUCAUUGAAUUUGCUUCACUAAUAGGCUCACGCUUCGACUUUGAUCGUUAUGGACUCGUACCAAGAUCGAGUCCUAGACAAUCGGAUCUAAUUUUAACAGUCGGAACAGUAACAAUGAAAAUGGCCCCUCUUUAGUGAGAUUAUAUGAGCAAAUGCCCGAACCAAAAUAUGUUAUUGCUAUGGGAGCCUGUACAAUUACAGGCGGGAUGUUCAGUACCGAUUCUUAUAGUACUAUUCGGGGAGUCGAUAAGCUAAUUCCUGUAGAUGUAUAUUUGCCAGGUUGUCCACCUAAACCGGAAGCGGUUAUAGAUGCUAUAACAAAACUUCGUAAGAAAAUAUCUCGAGAACUCUAUGAAGAUCGAAUUAGGUCUCAACGAGCGAAUCGGUGUUUUAUUACCAACCACAAGUUUCAUGUUCGACGCAGUAUUCAUACGAGAAAUUAUGAUCAAAGAGUUCUUUAUCAACCACCAUCUACUUCAGAGAUCCCUACGGAAAUCUUUUUCAAAUACAAAAAUUCAGUAUCUUCCGCCGAAUUAGUGAAUUAGACAGGAUUCCUUUGUCCAGAAUAAGAAGUGGUGGGUCAAUUUUCAUAAAUUUCAUCGUAAAUGUGAAAUACUUAUACAAAUAAAAAUGCGGGAGAGAUAGAAAAGAUGCAGGUUCGUUUGUCUGCUUGGCUAGUCAAGCAUGGGCUAAUUCAUAGAUCUUUGGGCUUUGAUUAACAAGGAAUAGAGACUUUACAAAUAAAGCCCGAGGAUUGGCAUUCCAUUGCUGUCAUUUUUUAUUUAUAUGGGUACAACUAUCUACGCUCUCAAUGUGCCUACGAUGUAGCGCCUGGCGGGCUGUUAGCUAGUGUGUAUCAUCUUACGAGAAUAGAGGAUUGUGUGGCUCAACCAGAAGAGCUAUGCAUAAAAGUAUUUGCCUCCAGAAGGAAUCUUAGAAUUCCGUCUGUUUUCUGGGUUUGGAAAAGCGUGGAUUUUCAAGAACGAGAAUCAUAUGAUAUGUUGGGAAUCUCUUACGAUAAUCAUCCACGCUUGAAACGUAUCUUAAUGCCUGAAAGUUGGAUAGGAUGGCCCUUACGUAAGGAUUAUAUUGCCCCCAAUUUUUAUGAAAUACAAGAUGCUCAUUGAAUGAUAAGAAAGCUAUUUCCACUUAGACAAUUUCAGAUAUUCAAGGAUUGCACGUUUUGUUAUAGAUUAAGCCUAACAACAAAAGACAAUUAGGGAUUCAUUGGAAUUCUCACAUUUAGUUGGAAGAUACUUCUUUCGGAUGGGUCACACCAAUAGGAUGAACCAAAUGAGUUCUGCAUCAUGAACUUUGUACUGCGCACGUUACUUAGACGGGUUCUAGAAAGGCAUAUAGGAAGGAAUGGAGAAAUCGAGAAUAAAGAAAUUUAAUAUGAAAGAAAAGCCAAAGAAAUGAGAUAAUAUCAGAUUCUAUUUCUUUGGAUCUGAGCUGAAUGUUGUCUAUUUCAACCCCCCUAGAUUCGGAUUCUACUUUUGAGCCUUUCCACAAUUAACUAAUUUUACCUUUCUAAUAUGUAUUACGUAAUCAAAUUCGUUUGAACAAGAGGAGAAAAAAAGAGGAGAUAGAAUCCAAUUCUUUUAGAUACUUUAUCUAAGAAACUCUACCCAUCUAUGUUCUAGAUGGGGUAUAUCUCGCUAAACUGGAUAAAGCUAUUAUUCUAAUCUAGACUAUAAAAAAAUAUGUAUGUGGAUUCAUAUCAAUUAAUUAGAAAUUCAUUCUAGGGAAGAGAGACCCAUACAAAUUAAUCAUGUGCCAAGAACCAGAUUUGAACUGGUGACACGAGGAUUUUCAGUCCUCUGCUCUACCAACUGAGCUAUCCCGGCUAUUCCCAAUCUCGAUUGGGACCGCUAACAUGAGGAUUUAGAGUCCUUUCCAUAAUAUCCUCAUUUUAUCAUAUAACUGGGGUCUAUGUCAAUUAAAAGGACAAAAGUCGAUUAAAAUUUUUUAUCAAAGCCGGGGGAUUUCUUCGAUCUUCAAAAAUAUGACUUUGUAAGUUUUAGUAUGAGUAAUGAUAUUGUAUUGAUCGGGAAUCAUUCAACUAGGGAUUUCUUGCUCAAAUAUGUUCAUUUCUAUGUGUAUCAUAGAUAUCAAAUUGUGAUAAGAGAAAGCCAUUUACGCUUAGAAAAAAAAUCCAUUUCUAAAAGAAUAGAGUGAAUGAGAAAGAUAAGGAAUUUGGAACCGCUAAGGAAAGGGGGUCGGAUAAAUAGUUGGGGAGUUAAAUAGUCUUUUUGGGGAUAGAGGGACUUGAACCCUCACGAUUUUUAAAGUCGACGGAUUUUCCUUUUAAUAUAAAUUUCAUUGUUGCCGGUAUUGACAUGUAGAACGGGACUCUAUCUUUAUUCUCGUCCGAUUAAUCAGAUCUUCAAAAGAUCUAUCAGACUUUGGAGUGAAUGAUUUGAUCAAUGAAUAUUCGAUUCUUUCUUCAAUAUAGAAUGGAUUCACACCAAUUCUUCGAUUUUUUAUAGAAAAACUACGAAUUCGGGUCGUCAUUAAUCAUUUGAUAUAGUAUUCAAUACGUAUGUAUAUACGUUUAUCCUUCACUUCAUUCUUUUUCUUUCUGAAGUUUCGAUGUAAAGAGUCCUCUACGAACGCAUUUAACUCCAUUUGUUAGAAUACCUUCCAUUGAGUCUCUGCACCUAUCCUUUUUUUCUGAACCUUGGAUUGUUUUCAGAAAACAGGAUUUGGCUCAGGAUUGCCCAUUUUUGUUAAUUCCAGGGUUUCUCUGAAUUUGAAACUGAUCACUUAGUAAUUUUCCAUACCAAGGCUCAAUCCAAUUAAGUCCGUAGCGUCUACCAAUUUCGCCAUAUCUCCCUUUCUUUUUGUUUUGAGAUUAGGAUCUUGUUGUGAUUUCAUUCCUUUUUAUUUUUCUUUCAUUUAUACUGGAACCAUUGAAUUCAUUAGAUACCGAUUCCUAUCUCGAAAACGUGUUUUCUCCUCUUUGAUUUUAUUAACUAUCUUCUAUAGGAGACCCUUUUUUUGUCCAGUCAAAAAUGAUUUUAUCAUUUCGGAAUCUGCAAUUCAAUAUAGAUUGAUAUAUACCCGAUCUAUAUGUCUUGCUUCCUGUCAUUUUGCCAUUCAAUUUUGAAUACUUGAACGAUCGAUUCUUGUUUUUUAUCUUCACUUUCCCCUGAAAGCCGAGGAAUGUCUCAUUAGUUAUAACUAACCAUUGCAUUAAACAAUUAGAAUUUGAAAUAAAUAUAGAAUGAGAUAUAUAUAUAAUAUAGAAUAUAAUAUAGAACUGUAAUAAAAAGUAUUUCAAAUGCCAAAAAAAGAAAUGAAAAAAAAAAGAAUAUUUACCAUUCAAUUCAAAUUGAAAAUCAAAGAAUAUUAACAAUAUUUACAAUCACUAUUUAAUAAUAUUAGUAUUAGAAUUGUGAUAAAUCGAAAUUCUAGAUCGCUAUAUUAAUCCUUAUGCUCUAGAAUAUUCAAUAGAAUAUUGACUAGUUAAUAACUAAGAUUCCAAUUCCAGUAGUUUAGUCAAUUACUAUGCAUAUAAGAUUUCUGUGAUGUGGGCCCGCUUAGCUCAGAGGUUAGAGCAUCGCAUUUGUAAUGCGAUGGUCAUCGGUUCGAUUCCGAUAGCCGGCUUUUCCCCUUUUUUUUUCAUUUUUUAGAUGAUUGAUAAUGUUCCUUUGAAAUCAAAGAAUAUUGAAAUUGCGCCUUCCUCCUUUUCCAAAAGCUAUCAAUUUAUUAUAGGAACUUCCAAUUAUGUCAGCAAAGAAUUAUAUAUAUAUAAUAGAAGGGGUUCUGUAUAUUUAUCUAAUUCAUCCCAUUCUUCUUUUCUUUAUAGUAUUUAUAGUACAAGUACACUAUUUCAGUAAACUUCGCUUCAUUUAGUUCAGUUUAGUUUUAGUUUAGGUUUAUUCUGUAAAAUAAAAUUCAAUAAAAAAAUAGAAAUAAGAAUUCAUUCAAAAUACUAAAUAAGAAUAAGGAGUCUUUAUGUCGCGUUACCGAGGACCUCGUUUCAAAAAAAUACGACGCCUGGGGGCUUUACCAGGACUAACUAAUAAAAAGCCUAGGACCGGAAGUGAUCUUAGAAACCAAUCGCGUUCCAGUAAAAAAUCUCAAUAUCGUAUUCGUCUAGAAGAAAAACAAAAAUUGUGUUUUCAUUAUGGUCUUACAGAACGACAAUUACUUAAAUACGUUCGUAUCGCCAGAAAAGCCAAGGGGUCAACAGGUCAAGUUUUACUACAAUUACUUGAAAUGCGUUUGGAUAACAUCCUUUUUCGAUUCGGUAUGGCUUCCACUAUUCCCGCAGCCCGUCAAUUAGUUAACCAUCGACAUAUUUUAGUUAAUGGUCAUAUAGUAGAUAUACCGAGUUAUCGCUGCAAACCCCGAGAUAUUAUUACGGCUAAGGAUGAACAAAAAUCCAGAGUUCUGAUUCAAAUUUCUCUCGAUUCAUCCCCUCAUGAGAAGUUACCAAAUCAUUUGACCCUUCAGCCAUUCCAAUAUAAAGGAUUAGUCAAUCAAAUAAUAGAUAGCAAAUGGGUUGGUUUGAAAAUAAAUAAAUUGCUAGUCGUAGAAUAUUAUUCUCGUCAGACUUAAACCUCAGACUUAAACCAAGGGUUCGCAAAAAUUUCUUCCCUUUAGGCGAAGUAAAUUAACCCAAGGUUAAGUAAGUUAAGUAAGAUCAAUCCGAGUUUGAUCUAGAUUUCCCCCAUUUUUGUAUCAUAGACCAAGGAUCUAUUUUCAUUCCUUGUCUAUUCUUUUCUUUCCAGUAUUUUGAUUAUGAUUAUUUUUGAGUAUUCUAUUUUACGCGUCACAGCAAUUAGGAAUUGAGAAUCUAUAUCUUUAGAUCAAAGAAGGGUCUAGCUGUUUGAAUAAUGGUAUACAAUGCUAUUUGAGUCCUUGUUGUUAGUAAAAUUGGUGAAUUAAGCGAAGGUACGGAAAGAGAGGGAUUCGAACCCUCGGUAAACAAAAGCCUACAUAGCAGUUCCAAUGCUACGCCUUGAACCACUCGGCCAUCUCUCCUACAUAAUGAUUAUGACCCCAAAACCGAGUGAAUAGCGAGUCAGUCAUAAUCCAUAUUCCAUUAUUUGAUAGGUACGACCAAUCCAUUUUAACUGAAAAUUUGUCAUCAAAGUCAAAGCAAAGAACGGUUUUUCUUUCCUUCGAGGCUCCGGGAUAAAGAUACAAUUUUUACGAAAAAUUGUUCAAAAAAAUUCAAUUCAUGUUUGCAAAAACAACGUUCCCUUCUUUUUCUGAUAUUUUUCUAUUUUUAUAACGGAUUAAUUCAAUGAAUUAGAACGAAUCAACUAAUUGAUGGUCUAUAUCUUUUAGACUAUAGUUAAUGGAUACUCUUAAAUGAUAACUGUAAUUAUAAUUAUAUAGACUAUGAUUCCAUACCAGAAAAUUUUUUUAAUUCCUUUUUGGUUUUGGAGUUCUCAACAACAAAUACCUACCCCUCUAUUAGAAUAGAAAUUCAUCAAAAAUUUAGAUUCGAUUGUAUAGUGUAUACCCGUUAUGUACACAAAAUUGGCAGUUAUUCUAUUUUCAUCAUAGAAUGAUUAGUCGAUCUUUUUUCUUCUUUGUAAUUUGUAUCAUGAUUCAAUCAAAAUUUCUCGAGUUCUUCUAAUUUGUAACUUCACCAAAAUCAGAAUAGUUCCUAUACUACUACAUUAGUAUGAAAUCGAAUCGCGUUGAAAUAUUUCUUAUUUCUUAUUUCUUCUCGAUUCCUGUCAAAAAGGAACAAUUGGAAUAGAGGAUUCAUAUCUUUUGUUUUUUUGUUAAAAAAAAGAAGUUUUUAUGUUAUUCCGUAUUAUACAAUUCUUUUCUUUGUGGGAUCUUUUUCCCACGAGAGGUAAUGAAAAGAAUUCUAGAAUGGAUUGCUACCUAUGCCUAGAUCACGGAUAAAUGGAAAUUUUAUUGAUAAGACCUUUUCAAUUGUAGCCGAUAUCUUAUUACGAGUAAUUCCGACAACUUCCGGAGAAAAAGAGGCAUUUACCUAUUACAGAGAUGGUGCGAUUUGAUUCUUUUUUUUUGAUUUUAUAUUUAUUCAUUUCUCUCAGUCUUACGAGGAGAAAAAUACAUGAUUCGAGAAAAGAAAUCUACGCUUUUUGAAGGUGAAGUUUGGAAAUAGAACAAUUCCUUCUGUCGUGUAUCCUCGAUUAAUGCAACCUCAGAUGCUAUGUUUCAAUUAUAGAUUCUAGUAUUAAGCGAAAGGUUACGCCUAGAGGUUCUGUAUUACGGGUCAAUCCUACUCUACUAGCGCUAAUAGGCAGCAUAGGGGAAGAAGCGCUACACCUAGGAAUCAACAACACGAAAACUUUGUUCUAAGUCAGCCCUUUUCUUAGCGGGCUUGGGACUAAAAGAAUGGUUGGGACAACAAACAUCCAUCUCGUUCGUCCUUUGGAUACCCGUAUAACCAUCAAAGGAUAUUGAAGUGACUAAUUCCUGGAAAUUAGGAGGCGUUAAAAACAAAAAAAUUGUGGGAGUUAUCUUAUCAUUUCUAUCUAGUCCCAAUAGGCUUGAUGUUAAGAAAGAAUCUCUUGCAGGAAGGUUGGCUAGAGAUUUCUUGUAAAAACACUAGCCCUGCUGAGUUCAUAAUGAGAAUAUUUUCAUCGUUGAAUCUUUUUUGAUUCUAUGUAUUAUUCUCAUUAUGCACAUAAGGGAGGAGCCGUAUGAGGUGAAAAUCUCACGUACGGUUCUGGAAUGGAGAUUCUUUCAAUUGAAUGACGACCGUAACGGAUGUCGGCUCAAUCCGAAGGAAAUUAUGCGGAAGCUUUGCAGAAUUAUUAUGAAGCUAUGCGACUAGAAAUUGAUCCCUAUGAUCGAAGUUAUAUACUCUAUAAUAUAGGGCUUAUCCACACAAGUAAUGGAGAACAUACGAAAGCUUUGGAAUAUUAUUUUCGAGCACUAGAACGAAACCCAUUCUUACAACAAGAUUUUAAUAAUAUGGCCGUGAUGUGUCAUUACGUGUGACUAUCUCCACUAUAGAAAGAAAAAAAGAAAAAUCUAGUAAAGUAACUACUAGAACCAAAUAGGCUUUCUACAUAUGCAUCGUCUAAAACAACGAUUUUUAUCAGCUGUAGCAAAGAACGAAACUUCAUAGAAGUCAAAAUAGGAAAAAAUAAAAAUGCCUAGCAACUUUUUUCUAUGGAUAUAAAGCUUUAAUUGAGAGAGAUAGAGAAAGCACCGUAAAGAUCAAUUAGCGAGGUUUUGGGCCGAUACAAUAAUAACUGCGUACUUAUCUCAUGAUGUGAGAUAAAAAUUAGGAAUUAACUUAUCUAAUAGAGUCGAUCCACUAAAGUCUUGAGCAGCGGUGUAGGAUCAGAUCCCAAAGAUAGUAAGUAUUUUCUUUCUUAUGAAAGAAAGUCUUUUUCAAAGAUUCUAUAUAAAUUUAUCUAUGAAAUCGAGAUAGUUCUCUUUCAGAAAAUUCUAACACUAGUAGAAAUGCCUAUGCUCUAUUCUUCUGAUGGUGGGAAAAAAGAUAAAACUAAAUAAACGGAUUAUUCAUCCAAAUUUCAGUUUGAAACUCAUGUAAUUAACCUAUUUUUCUUUUGGUUAACCCUAAAACUGGGAUAGAUCCAUGAGAAAUCUGAUUAGAUUUUAUUAGAUAUGGUAUAGAUCAAAAUGGGACACCAAAAGAAUUGACUGCUGAGCCGUAUGAGGUAAGAAAUUCUCAAGUACGGUUCUAAGGGAAGGAAUUGAACUACCUAUUCCGGCCGGGGAGAACAGGCCAUUCAACAGGGAGAUUCUGAAAUUGCAGAGGCUUGGUUUGAUCAAGCUUCUGAGUAUUAGAAACAGCCUAUAGCGCUUACUCCCGGUAAUUAUAUUGAAGCGCGUAAUUGGUUGAAGAUCAAGAGACGUUUCGAAUAAAAGAGGACCCCGUUUAUUUAUUAUCCUUUAUUUAGAAUCUUAGUCUAGUAUUUUAUUUUUUUAUUUAAAAUUUAGAUAUUUGUUAUAAUUAAUUGUUUGUUGGACCCAUCAGAUCAGUUAACGAAAAAACGGAUUAUUCCUUUGCUUUUGGAAGACCCAAUCACAUAAUUUCAUUAUCUCCCCUCUAAGCCGUCUAUUUCACUUCUAUUUCAUCUGCUAUUUUUUAGGAAUAAAAAAGGAUACACAGAUAGAGUACAAAAUAGACUUCUUUUUAUUAAAUUAAACAAAAUUAUUAUUAAAACUAAUAAAAGAAACCUUUGAAUCACUAAAUAUAUAUAUACCGGGUAUGUCUCUUAGUAAUGUCUAAUGGCUACUCGCGUGAUUUGGAAUAGAGUUAGAGUUAUUAAAAUCUUCUAGGUAAAAAAUUAAAGAGCUCCAUUUAAUAACUUCUAUGAAUAUACACUAGGUUGCACAAAAAAGUCGUUUUUGGACAAAAUUUUAACAAAAUAUAAAAUACAAAAUACUUUUUUUUAUUCGAUUUGAACGUCUGGAUGACAUUAUCUUCUCCUUGACAUUUUGAACAUAUAUGGUCGGGGUAUUUUUGUCCAAUAAUUUUGCAAUAUCUUGUCAAUAAUUCUUCCGAAAUAAACCCUUUUCUUAAUGCUCUUGUUGUUGGUUUUUGCUCUGGCUUGAGUAGACUAAGUAUCCAUUGGCGUAUCUCUUCCAUAUCUUGUUCUCUGAUUUCUUUAGAAUUUGAAUAUAUCAUAACUUGCUCUCGUACAUAAUAGCUCCAUACUGAAUUUCCGUUUAAAUAAUUGUUAGUUAGUUCAUUUAGGAUAGUUGCUAUUCCUAUAACUCUUUUGUUGGCGUAGAAUUCUGGUAUCUCAAUCUUUUGUAUUUCUUGUUGUAUUCUGAUAUCUUCUGGAAUUAUCAUAUCUCUGGUCAAACCAAUUUUUAUAACUUGUAUAAUUGGUUUUAUCUCAUCAAAUAAUAUCUCUGCUGGUGCUGAAUAAAACUUUAUAUAAAACAAUGUUCCUUUAGUAAUUCUUUUAUAGUUCAUAAAGGCUUUGUAUAGCUCUGGUAUGGUAGAUAUUUCAUCUCCUGUUUGGGUAUAAACUGUAUUAAGUAAUCCAUAACUAUAACAUGUUUUUACUAGAUUUGCAUUGGUGCCUGGUUGUGCUAUUAACUUAUUAUAUCCUUGUAGCUUUUGGGUUAUAAAAUCAGUAUUAGGGUCUUUGGUAGUUGGAGAUCUAGGUGUUGAGUUUAAAUAAUUUUGUAUUUUAUAAAGGUUUUCAAUAUAUGAGCGGGUUAUGUGGUUGUAGGCUUUUUUAUCGUGGUUUAAACUUUCUGAGUAAGUAUGUAUUUGUGGUGGUAUAAAUAAUGAGUCUUUUUGGUUCUUUGGAAUAAAUGGUUUAUCGAAGAUUUUGUUCAUAUUUAAAUUUGUAUAUCUUAUUCCACUGGCUCCUUUUGUUGUAGAUGUGCUUGCUGUAGCUGCAUUUAAACAAACAUUGUCAUGGGUUUUAUAAUGUUUCCCAACGUCUCCUUCUAGUUCUGGCUUUUUACCGUCCGCCGAACGACGUAGCUCCGCAUUUUUAGAGUCAUGCUGCGACUGUUAGCUUUCUGAUUUUGUAACUCUUUUCCCACACUGUCCACCUUCGUAGAAAGUGUAGUAAUUGCUUUGAGUAUUUCUUCUAUUGUAUCUUGUUCAGUUUGAGUUCCUUUUUCUUGAUAGGUAGUCUGCACCAAGGUUCUUGUCAGUCUUAAUUACUUCAAUUGUAAAUGUAAAAUUUAAUAUAUUCAAUACUAAUCUCCUUAUUUCUUUUGUUGUAACUGAAUCUUCUAAUUUUUUUGUUAUCCACCAUUUUACCUGUGUGUUAUCUGUUCUUACAAUAAAUUUAUUGUAAACAAUAUAUGGUUCAAAUGCUAAUAAACAUUUAUAUAAUGCGAAUAAUUCUUUUCUAUUUAUUUCCCAUUUUAUUUGUGCUUCUGUAUAAGAUCCUGAAUAAUAUCUACAAUGGUGUUCUAUUUUUUCUUUUUCAUAUUUGUAUUUUAAAACUCCUCCGUAACUAUGAUCACUCGAAUCUGUUUCAACAAUGUAAGUAAAUGUUUUAUUUUCAUCAGGAAAAUAUAGUUUUGGUAAUUUUUUACAUAGAUUCUUAAAAAUUUUUAUAUGUUUUUUAUGUUUAUUAUCAAAAUGAUAUUCUACAUCUUUUUUAAGUUUUUUAUGUAAUGGUUUUAAAUGUUCUGCUAAUUUUGGUAUAUAUUCUCUUACCUGGUUUACUAAUCCUAGAAAGGAUUGUAAUUUCUUUUUUGUAUCUAUAUUUUUAUCAAUAGUAAUUAUUUUUUGUACUAUAUGAGUUUGCAUUUUUAUUCCAUUUUUAUCUAUUUGUAUUCCUAGAAACUCUAUUUGUGAUUUCAUAAUUUCUGCUUUUCUUUUACUCAAACUUAUACUAUAUGUAUAAAUUUUUUCAAUAAUCUUAUAUGUUCAUCUUGUGUUCUAGAAUAUAGCAAUAUGUCAUAUAUAUAUAUACAAUACAGUUUUCUAGUUGGUUAAAACAGUUAUCCAUAAAAUGUUGGAAUCUACCUGGUGCAUUUUUAUAUGCAAAAGGUAAAACAUUUCAUUCAUAGAAACCUUGCGGUACUGUGAAUGCUGUUAAUUGUUUGGAUUCUUCUUCUAGUUUUAGGUGGUAAAAUCCUGAUUUGCAGUCAAAUUUCCUAAAAUAAUUAUAUCCUUGUAUUUGUCUUAUUUUUAGUAUUUUGUUUGGUAUCGGAUAAUUGUAUGUUUUAGUUUUAGCAUUUAGAUUACGAUAAUCUAUGACCAUUCUACUUUUACCUCUUUUUUGUUCACUGUGUUUUAUUACUAUAAAUGUUGGACUUGUAUGUUUACUAUUGCUUUUUUGUAUGUAAUUAUUUUCUAACAAUUCAUUUAUAUGUAUUUUAAAUUCUUCUAGAUCAUCAAAGUUAUAUUUUAAUGGUUUCUGUGUUAUUAUACUAUUUUCAUCUAUUAAUUCAAUUUUUACUUUUGUCUUAUGUUUUUCCCAUCCUUGUAAUGGAUCUUCACUAUAUAAUUGUUCUAGUUGUUCAUUAAUUAAUUUGACUUUGUCUAUAGCAAAUAUAAUAAUUUCUAAUUGCGUUAUUUGUUUAUUAUUUAUAUUUUCCAUUUCUUGGUUUAUCUUUUCACUUCCUUUUAUCCAUUCCAUAGGUUUUCGUUGUUUAUUAUUUAAUCUUUUUGCUCCUAUCUUAUUUCCGCAUGGUGUAGUAAGCCACCAAUGUGUUUUUGUUAUUUUGUGUGGAUAAUAUCUAUCUAGAAAUGGCAUUCCUAAUAACAUAUCUUUUGUAGUAAGUUCAAAAUUAUACAUUUCUUCUAUUGUUAGUAUUUUAUCCCAUAUUUGUAUUUUUAUAUUUUUUGCUUUGUAUUUAAUCAUACUUCCUUCAUUGUUAAAUCCUGUUACUACCAUAGGUGUUUUUAAUUUUUCCCAUUUAUCUUCUGGUAAGCAAUUAUAUUUACAUAUAUUCGCUUCUGCUCCUCUAUCUAUCAUAGGGGUAUAAUAUCUGUUGUGAUAUCCUUCUACUAUAAUUUUUGCAAGUAUAAAUAUUUUCAUUAAUCAUUUUGUCCUUUUUAUAAUUAUUUUCUUAUUUUGACAAGUUAUUGUUAAUUGUUCAUUUUCUAUAUUGUAUGGUUUGACUUUUUCUAACCAUUUUAUUCCUAAUGAAAUAUUAUGAUUUCCUUGGUAUAUUUUAAAUUGUAUUACUAAGGGUAUUCCUCCUAUAAUUAUUUCUUUUUCUGUUGUUUCUUCAUUCGUGUUCACUAUCUCACUAGGUAGUCCAGGGCAUGUAUGUCCUGUUCUUAUAAUUUCUUCUUCUAAUACUAACUCUCUUGUUAUAUAAUUUUCUUCUUGUCCUGUAUUUAUUAAUAUUUUAUAUUUUCUUUGGUCUGUUAUUCCUGUUAUGAAAUAAUGAUAUGGUGUUAUUUCUUCUUUAUCUAAUAAGCUUUGUGGAAUUUCAUAUUUUCUUUUAGAUGUACUCAUCCUUGAUGAGGUAGCUCUUGUCAAUGUAUUUGGUACGCUUGAAGUGCUUAAUCUUUCUUUUACUAUCUCUAAAUCUUCUUCUAUAUCAAUUUCUUUAUAGCUAUAGUUAUUAUUUUCUAUUACAGUAAUUAUUUUUUCAAAAGGAUUUUCUAUUUUUAUUUUAUUAAUUUUAUUUCUUUCUGUUAUUUUAUGCUUUGUUGUUAAUAUAUAUAAAUUUUUACAUCUUGCUGUAAAUAGUUUGCUCCCUGGUGCUAGUUCUAUUCCAGACAUUUUCCAAUAUAGAACUAAUAAUCUAUCUAUAUUUUUAUCUGUUAAUGAUACUGUAUAAUUAGCACUUAUUGUAAACUUAAAUUUUUGAUAUAUUAAGUUUCCUUUUACUGCACUAAUUAUGCUUUUUUCUAUAGGGUGUACAAUUCUAUCAUCUGCUAAAUAUAUUUCUAUAGGUGUAUCUAUUCCUUCUCUAAAGCAGGCUUUUAUUAAUAUUUCUGUUCCUCCUAAAUGUACAUAUUUUAUUGGUGUUUUAGCUUUUAUAUCUUGUAUUUCUUUGUUUAUCAUUCUUUUAUUUAUUAUAGGUAUAAAUGCUUUUCCUCUUGUGUAUUUACAAUCUAUGAUAUGUUCUUUUUGACUAACUAUAUAGUAUUCUUCUUUUUGUCUUUUAAACCAAUUUCUUAAAAUAGGUAUUUCUAGUACUUUUUCAACACUUAAAUCUAAUUCUUUUCCUUUUAUUUGUUCAAAUAUCGUAUUAUCAAAUAUAAUUUUCUGUUAUGAUGAUUCCUCAUCUUGAUAUUCUUCCUUAGAUAUUAUUUUUAUUUCAUUUUCAGACAUUAUAAUUCUUCAUCUUUUUCGUUGUUAUCUAUGUUAAUAUUUUCUUCUUCAUUCUCAGUUUCUAUGUCUGAUACUUCAUAUAUACUAUCAUUUUCACUUAAUUCAUAAUCUAUGUACUCUAUUUGCAUAUAUUUUUCAUUGUCUAUAAUUAAUUCUGCUAUUUGUUUUCUUUUUGGAUUUUUGGGUAAUUUACAAUCUUUAGCUAUGUGUCCUAUCUUUCCACAAUUAUAACAAGUACAUUGGGAUAUUUUUCUUUUUGGUAUGUAAGGUCUUUUUAUUUUAUGAUUUUUUACAUAAUACCUUCGUCUUAGUUGUUUAUAUUUAUAUAUAGUUUUUUUUUCUAUAAUUUUUAUAUCUUUUAGAUUUUUGUUUUUUAGUCGUGCAUCCAAAUUGUGGUGACAUUUUAUUUUUGCAACAUGAUAAAUUUUUAUUUAAUACUUUUUCCAUUUUUAAUUUUUCUUUUCGGUUUUCACAUAGUUGUAUGAACAUUUGAUUUAAAAAUUUUAUUCUAGAUCCUAAAGUAUCUACCAUUCCUUCAUUAUUCCAAUCCUUUAUCACAUUUGUACUAAAUGGUUCUGGUAAUUUUGUAUAAUGUUGUUUUCUUAUUUUUUUUGCUUCGUCUAAAUUGUAUUUAGCUUUGUAAUAAUAUUCUUUAAAUGCGCAAGUAUAUUCUUCUAAGUAACACAUUUUACAUAUAGCUAAUUUUGUCAUAAGUUGUCUAUUUAUUAUUUUUUUCUCUAUUUUGUUCUCUUAUAUCUGUAGUCAUGCCUCCAAAUUCAUUUCUUAUUGCUGAUUCAUAUUUAUCUAGUAUAUCUAUAUUUGUUGCUGAUGGGGAUCCAUCCAUUUUCUUAUCAUUUCUAAGUACUUCUAAACUUUCUGGGGUAGAUUUUCUAUCCAUAAUUUUGCUGUUCCUAUGAAUGUUCUUUCUAUAUAUCUUGGUGUUUUCUCUGUUUCUAUUUUGUUAUCUAUUAACUGUUUAGACAUAUUUCCUAUCCAUAACAAUAUUGCUUUAUUUAUAUUUGCGACACAAUCUAAAUCUAAGAAAUUGUAUUGUUCAUUUGCUGGUUUAGGUGUCCAAUUUUUAUUUAGUCUAGUGUUCCAUAUUGCAUUAUUUCUGUUUGAUUGUUGAUAGCUUUCUGUAUAAUAAGUUGGUGGUGUUCUCCUAGGACUAACUCUAGGACUAUUUCUGGGACUAUUAUCUGGGGUUUUAACUCUUGACGUACUAGGCCUAUUCAUAUCUCCUGUGUUUAUUUCUAAUUUUUUUGGUUUAUUUAUCUGUUCUAGAAUUUCUGUAUAUGUUUCACUUAUAUAACUUAUUUCUGAUUGUUGGUCAUUUCCAUUUCCGUCUAUUUCAUUUACUUCAAUAUCUUCAUUUAGAUCUUUUAGAUCUUCAUUUAGUUUCUGUUCCAUUUGGUUUUAUUUCAUUUGUAAAUUCUAGCUCUUUAUCUUUUUGUUUUUGUUUAUUUUCAUAUAAUAAUUUUAACCUAGCUAAUUCUUUUUCUAAUUCACUUAUUCUUGUAUUUUUUAUUUCUUCUAAAUUUUGUACUUCUUGUUUUGCUUGUGUUUUUAUUUUUUCAAUUUCUCUUGAUUUAUCUAUUUCUUCAUUUUCUUUUGUUAUUCUUACCAUAGCUGUUAAACUAUCUUCUAAUUUUGCUGUUUCUUUUUCUAGCAUUAAGUAUAAGUUAUUUCCUAUUCUCUUGUAUCUUCUUCCUAAAUUUGAAAAUACUAUUUUUAUUAUCAUUCCAUCUUGGUUUUCAAAUGUUUUUUCGUCUACUGCAAGCUCUUCUUUAUUCAUUAUGAUCUAUGUAUUAUAUUAUGUUGUAAUUCAUAUUCAGGACAAUCUAAUUCUAAUUCUAACAUUAAUAUAUCUUUUCUUUGUGCUAGUAUUGAUUUAUUAUAUACUCCUACUAAUAUAUUUUCUUCUAACCUAUUUUUUCUAUGUUGUAAUUCUUGUUCUUUCUCAGUUAUUUUUUCCAUUAUUUUUUCUAUUAAUUGUUGUUUAUAAAUUUCUUUGUUCAUACUUUUUAUUCAAAUAGCGAACAUAUUUGUAUUUUGUUUUCGAAAUUAUAUUUAUCAAUUGAUCUUUUUUACCAUUGUCUGUUUUGACUAGUUGCGAUAGUUCAUAUUCUAUAUACAAGGGUCUUAAUUUUUUUCAUAUUUUUCUUACCUUUUUAUCUAUCUUGGUUCUUUCUAUUUUAGUAUUUUUAUUCAUCAUAAUUUUUUAUAUUAUAUUUUAAAAAGUCUACUUAGUUUAUCUGGAUAUUUAAUGUUUUUAACCUGUAAUUUCUACCAUAUCGUCUUAGCCAAUAUUCAGUCAUAUUUAAUCUCCAAUAUCUAAAUCAUCAUUUAAAUCAUACAUGUCAUAAUAAAGUUCAUCUUGUAUACUUUGUAUGGUUAACUCAGUCCAACCUUGGGUUGUUAUUUCUAUUAUCUCAUAUGUUAAUAAUUUAUUAUAAAUUUCUCUUUUUAUAUCAGUAUUCAAAUUUUUUAGUAUAUAGAGUAGUAAUAUCUUAUAAU
rnacentral:lncRNA from 1 species